rfam:Lepisosteus oculatus linkage group LG17, whole genome shotgun sequence.
CCCAGAAGCAAUAUCACUCUGCAACUCACAACUGGCAACCCACUGAAACUAAGCAGGUGUGAGCCUGGUCAGUACCUGGAUGGUAGACCUCCUGGGAAACACUAAGGUUGCUGCUGGAA